CCCAGUAAACGGCGGCCGUAACUAUAACGGUCCUAAGGUAGCGAAAUUCCUUGUCGGGUAAGUUCCGACCUGCACGAAUGGCAUAACGAUGGCCACACUGUCUCCUCCCGAGACUCAGUGAAGUUGAAAUGUUUGUGAUGAUGCAAUCUACCCGCGGCUAGACGGGAAGACCCCAUGAACCUUUACUGCAGCUUUGCAUUGAACUGUGAACCGAUUUGUGUAGGAUAGGUGGGAGGCAGAGAAGAGGCCACGCCAGUGGCCUUGGAGCCGACCUUGAAAUACCACCCUGAUUUGUUUGCGGUUCUAACCACGGACAGUGAUCCUGUCUUGGGACCGUGCAUGGUAGGCAGUUUGACUGGGGCGGUCUCCUCCUAAAGGGUAACGGAGGAGUACGAAGGUACGCUAGGUACGGUCGGAAAUCGUGCUGAUAGUGCAAUGGCAAAAGCGUGCUUGACUGCGAGAGCAACAACUCGAGCAGAUGCGAAAGCAGGUCAUAGUGAUCCGGUGGCUCUGAAUGGAAGGGCCAUCGCUCAACGGAUAAAAGGUACUCUGGGGAUAACAGGCUGAUACCGCCCAAGAGUUCAUAUCGACGGCGGUGUUUGGCACCUCGAUGUCGGCUCAUCUCAUCCUGGGGCUGUAGUCGGUCCCAAGGGUAUGGCUGUUCGCCAUUUAAAGAGGUACGUGAGCUGGGUUUAAAACGUCGUGAGACAGUUUGGUCCCUAUCUGCCGUGGGCGUUGGAAGAUUGACGGGGGCUGCUCCUAGUACGAGAGGACCGGAGUGGACGCACCUCUGGUGUACCGGUUGUCACGCCAGUGGCAUUGCCGGGUAGCUAAGUGCGGAAGAGAUAACCGCUGAAAGCAUCUAAGCGGGAAACUUGCCUGAAGAUGAGUCUUCCCGGAGGUUGAACCUCCCUCAAGAGUCGUCCGAGACCAGGACGUCGAUAGGUCAGGUGUGUAAGCGCUGUAAGGCGUUGAGCUAACUGAUACUAAUUGCUCGUGAGGCUUGAUCCU
rnacentral:rRNA from 1 species